CGGGUAGAUUUUGAAGCAUUUAUAAAAUUAUUUCUAAAUGGUUAUAUCCUCAAAAAUCAAAUGUGGUCAGACUUUCAUUCUUGAUAAAUGAAGUUUUUAUGGUUGUCCAUAGUCUGUUCAUGUGUGCUUGUAUAUUGGAUUUGAUUGGUUUGGAACUUCAUCUGCGAAAUGCACAGGGAUUAAAAUGCAGUCCACUACACACAAUCAUUAGACCACACGUUGAAUGGUCAUUUAAAAUCAUUAUUUUUAUACAGAACCUUAACAUGUCUUGACAUGUUUUAUAAAGACCCCGUGGCAUAAACUUACCAUUAAAGAAGUCAGAAUGGACGGACUUUUCAUUAGCUGCCAAGUCCAUCAAUAGAGCACUCGAUCCACCAGCCUGGAGUAGAAACAAGCCAACAGUGAGGCUCAUGUCCCCCACCGAAAUACCAAAAUAAAUAGAUAACACAUAAUUAAUUGCACAUUUAUCUUUUUCAAAAG